GACAGAAAGACCCUAUGAAGCUUGACUGUAGCUUGGAAUUGGGUUCGGGCUCUUCUUGCGCAGCCUAGGUGGGAGGCGUUGAAAGUUUUUUUUCGGGAAAACUGGAGCCAUCAGUGAGAGACCACUCUGGAGGAGCUAGAAUUCUAAUGGCGUUCCUUGAAGCAGGACGCUUGACAGUUUCAGGUGGGCAGUUUGACUGGGGCGGUCACCUCCUAAAAGGUAACGGAGGUGUGCAAAGGUUCCCUCAGGCUGGACGGAAAUCAGCCGUAGAGUGUAAAGGCAGAAGGGAGCUUGACUGCAAGACCUACAAGUCGAGCAGGGGCGAAAGCCGGCCUUAGUGAUCCGACGGUUCCGCGUGGAAGGGCCGUCGCUCAACGGAUAAAAGUU
rnacentral:rRNA from 1 species